UUUAGGCUUUUUCCUGCUGUGCAUUUUUUCCAUUGUGUACAGCACCUCUGGUUGCCCAAAAUGCAGUGGUCCUUACCCUUUGGGUAUCAUUGCAAGGCAUGUUAAAGCUAGGCUUACUUAGCCUGUGUGGAAGUUGGUCCCUGCUUGGUGCUGAGCAGUCAGGGCUGGUGAAGGUGAUAGUCAGAGUGUUCAGCUCCUGGUGCCACCAGUGAUGAUGUCCCAUGGUCCUUGACCUUUGCUAUGGUCUGAUAUCCUCUACUGUUGUUUGCUCAUCCCCUAUCCCUUGAACACAUAUUCUCCAUGUAAGCAGAAAGGGCAUAAAAUCUGAUUUUACCCUAAACAGUAUCUGAAAAUUAACUGCUGUUUUUCAUGCUUCUGCCUUUUCUGUGUAGAGCAGAUAGAUUUAGCCAGUCUGCAUCCUUGACAGCUACUGCAUAGGUGGACAGGAACUACAACAGAUCCUGCUGCUGAGGAGCUGCAAGAUCUCCCUGUUCCCAUUUUUUCUUGGUAAAAUAGAGGAUCCUUUGAACAAAAUUGAAAUUCAGACCAAACACAAAAAGUGCACAGGUUGAGACAGUUACACAUAUCUAAACUUGAUACUGAUCCUGCAGAGCCUUGCUUAAACACCUGUUUCAGAAGGGUGCUGGCAGGGGUCAACUUGUGUAGAGCACGCUCUUUUAAUGGAUGAGUACAGCUAUGGCUAGGAAGAACAAACAGAACAGUGUGAAACCGUUCUGAGUCCUGUCCUGGUUUGGCUUCCUCCUUG